CCUACGGGAGGCAGCAGUGAGGAAUAUUGGUCAAUGGACGAGAGUCGGAACCAGCCAAGUAGCGUGAAUGAUGACUGCCCUAUGGGAUGUCAAAUUCUUUUAUAAAGGAAUAAAACGAGGCACGUGUGCCUUUUUGCAUGUACUUUAUGAAUAAGGAUCGGCUAACUCCGUGACAGCAGCCGCGGUAAUACGGAGGAUCCGAGCGUUAUCCGGAUUUAUUGGGUUUAAAGGGAGCGUAGAUGGGUUGUUAAGUCAGUUGUUAAAAUUUGCGGCUCAACCGUAAAAUUGCAAUUGAUACUGGCAGUCUUGAGUACAGUUGAGGUAGGCGGAAUUCGUGGUGUAGCGGUGAAAUGCUUAGAUAUCACGAAGCACCCCGAUUGCGAAGGCAGAUUACUAAACUGUGCCUGACAUUGAUGCUCGAAAGUGUUGGUAUCAAACAGGAUUAGAGACCCGGGUAGUC
rnacentral:rRNA from 1 species